GACGAACGCUGGCGGCGUGCCUAAUACAUGCAAGUCGAGCGCAGGAAGUCAUCCGAACCCUUCGGGGGGACGUUGACGGAAUGAGCGGCGGACGGGUGAGUAACACGUAAAGAACCUGCCCUCAGGUCUGGGAUAACCACGAGAAAUCGGGGCUAAUACCGGAUGGGUCAUCGGACCGCAUGGUCCGAGGAUGAAAGGCGCUCCGGCGUCGCCUGGGGAUGGCUUUGCGGUGCAUUAGCUAGUUGGUGGGGUAAUGGCCCACCAAGGCGACGAUGCAUAGCUGACCUGAGAGGGUGAUCGGCCACACUGGGACUGAGACACGGCCCAGACUCCUACGGGAGGCAGCAGUAGGGAAUCUUCCACAAUGGACGAAAGUCUGAUGGAGCAACGCCGCGUGAACGAUGAAGGCCCUCGGGUCGUAAAGUUCUGUUGUAAGGGAAGAACAAGUGCCGCAGGCAAUGGCGGCACCUUGACGGUACCUUGCGAGAAAGCCACGGCUAACUACGUG
rnacentral:rRNA from 1 species